CUUGGUCAUUUAGAGGAAGUAAAAGUCGUAACAAGGUUUCCCUUGGAGGAACGGAUGGAAGGAUCCUUCCGCGGGUGACGCCCACAGAAGCCUUUGCAGCCUCGCAAGAGGUCUGUUUCAAGCGACGGUAAAUAAAUUGGGACUCCGGGGGGAGGCCCUUCGUGGCCAGCCCGUGCAGUACUUUCGAAUUGGCGGGAAUACCCCAAAGCUCCAUCUUACCAACCCAGCGGGGAAACCCGCCGGGGGCUCAUGUCAACCGCAUGAGGUACGGUCACAACGGAUGAGAGAUAAUUCCGUUUCGACGGAAACCACGGGCAAUCCGCAUCCAAACCCUAAAGCACUCGGUUUUUUGCCACAAGGCCAUGGGUUAGGUUCACAGACUAAGUGGAAGUGGCGGGGGCAACGUUCCCGCUAAAGAUAUAGUCGGGCCCGCUGAGAAAUCGGCGGGAAGAGUCACCGAAAAUGCGUCGACGAAAAACCGUUCCGUAGGUGAACCUGCGGAAGGAUCAUUA
rnacentral:rRNA from 1 species